rnacentral:rRNA from 1 species
UCGAGCGGACAGAUGGGAGCUUGCUCCCUGAUGUUAGCGGCGGACGGGUGAGUAACACGUGGGUAACCUGCCUGUAAGACUGGGAUAACUCCGGGAAACCGGGGCUAAUACCGGAUGCUUGUUUGAACCGCAUGGUUCAAACAUAAAAGGUGGCUUCGGCUACCACUUACAGAUGGACCCGCGGCGCAUUAGCUAGUUGGUGAGGUAACGGCUCACCAAGGCAACGAUGCGUAGCCGACCUGAGAGGGUGAUCGGCCACACUGGGACUGAGACACGGCCCAGACUCCUACGGGAGGCAGCAGUAGGGAAUCUUCCGCAAUGGACGAAAGUCUGACGGAGCAACGCCGCGUGAGUGAUGAAGGUUUUCGGAUCGUAAAGCUCUGUUGUUAGGGAAGAACAAGUACCGUUCGAAUAGGGCGGUACCUUGACGGUACCUAACCAGAAAGCCACGGCUAACUACGUGCCAGCAGCCGCGGUAAUACGUAGGUGGCAAGCGUUGUCCGGAAUUAUUGGGCGUAAAGGGCUCGCAGGCGGUUUCUUAAGUCUGAUGUGAAAGCCCCCGGCUCAACCGGGGAGGGUCAUUGGAAACUGGGGAACUUGAGUGCAGAAGAGGAGAG